CCUACGGGUGGCAGCAGUGAGGAAUAUUGGUCAAUGGCAGAGAGGCUGAACCAGCCAAGCCGCGUGAAGGACGACGGUGCCAAGCAUUGUAAACUUCUUUUGUCAAGGGACAAAAUCAGGCUCGAGAGCCUGACCGAGGGUACUUGAAGAAAAAGCAUCGGCUAACUACGUGCCAGCAGCCGCGGUAAUACGGAGGAGGCGAGCGUUAUCCGGAUUUAUUGGGUUUAAAGGGUGCGUAGGCGGGGUGUUAAGUCAGCGGGAAAAGCCCGGGGCUCAACCCCGGCCCGCCGUUGAAACUGGGUGGCUUGAGAGGGCGAGAGGUAAGCGGAAUGCGGAGGGUAGCGGUGAAAUGCGUAGAUAUUGCGAAGAACUCCGGUGGCGAAGGCGGCAUACCGGCGGCGAUCUGACGCUGAGGCACGAAAGCGUGGGUAGCGAACAGGAUUAGAUACCCGUGUAGUC
rnacentral:rRNA from 1 species